AGCCAGACUCCUACGGGAGGCAGCAGUGAGGAAUAUUGGUCAAUGGCCGCAGGGCUGAACCAGCCAAGUCGCGUGAGGGAAGACGGCCCUACGGGUUGUAAACCUCUUUUGUCAGGGAGCAAGAGGCGGGUCGAGACCUGCUGUGAGAGUACCUGAAGAAAAAGCAUCGGCUAACUCCGUGCCAGCAGCCGCGGUAAUACGGAGGAUGCGAGCGUUAUCCGGAUUUAUUGGGUUUAAAGGGUGCGCAGGCGGAGGUGCAAGUCAGUGGUCAAAUUGCGGGGCUCAACCCCGUACUGCCGUUGAAACUGCAUCCCUUGAGCGCGCGAGAAGUAUGCGGAAUGCGUGGUGUAGCGGUGAAAUGCAUAGAUAUCACGCAGAACUCCGAUUGCGAAGGCAGCAUACCGGCGCGCAACUGACGCUCAUGCACGAAAGCGUGGGUAUCGAACAGGAUUAGAUACCCUAGUACCG
rnacentral:rRNA from 1 species